CAUGUCUGUACGCUUCUUUGGAGGUUACAAGGAUAUCGCACAAUGCCAGCUCUGAAAGAGCAACCGGCGACGUCAACAGCUUUCUUAUAUAAGGUGCCUGCAGACGAGGCAUCGCAAGCUGCUGCUUCAGAGUUGGCGCUCAUUUUAGCCAUAGAUCCUGCGAUGAUCCAGCGGUAGACUGAAGAUAUUCUACUUGGUCAGUCCUUGGUGAAAAUCAGUUUGAAACACACCAUGAAUUUUCAUUAUCUGUUCUUCGCACUCAUCUGCACCGCUCUGUCGUCCGCAAUGGCAAGUGUCUCCUCAGGAUCAUCCUGUGACUUCUCCAGUGUCAACGCCGAAGAUGCGAUUGAUAAACUUAUCGCCAAAUUUCCAGAAUA